rnacentral:antisense_RNA from 1 species
AUAGCUGAAUUGUUGGCUAUACGGUUUAAGUGGUCCUCGGUAAUCUUCUCUUAGUCGCCAAACCUGGUGAAUGUUAUCGGGGUUUUUGCUU